UUAAGGGGUGCCCGACAGUUCGGGCUGAGAUUAGACCCUCAUACCUGAUCCGGGUUAUGCCGGCGUAGGAAUUUUCU
rnacentral:ncRNA from 1 species